rnacentral:lncRNA from 1 species
UCAAGCCAUGCCCUUCCCUUUUGCAAGCUCCCGUGGCUCGCGACCCGCAGCCCACCCCUGCACCAGUGGACACUGCGGGAUGGCCUGGCCUCGGCUCUGCAUUUUCACUUCUCUUAGCUCUCAUCUCCUCCACCACAGAGACAGCUCUGUCUGAGUAUCUUUCUGAUACUGUUCUUUAUCCCCCAGGACUGGCCCAGCCCAGGGCGGUGCGUACAGCAGACACUUAAUGUAACACAGUAGCAGCUUUUAAUUUCUCAGGCCAAUGAGAUACAGACAGUCACUGGUAUGGUAGUUUUUCAGUCAAGCAUCAAGGGAAGAACUUAUUAGUUUGAAUUACAAACAACAGAAGUAGAAAACUCCACAAGGAAAAAUCUCAGCUGGUGAAGAAGCUCAGGAGCUCACAGAAGGCUCCAAGCAGGCAGGACCAGACCGCAGCUUCCAGGUGCUGGGAUCCGGGGACCACACCUUCACCUGCUGCUCUCUUGAAGGAAAAACAAAUAUCUGCCUCUGGCAGGUAAAAAAAAAAUAAAAGGAGUGCGUCUCA